rnacentral:tRNA from 1 species
GCCCAGAUGGCGAAAUUGGUAGACGCACUACCUUGAGGUGGUAGCGCCAGCAAUGGUGUGCAAGUUCGAAUCUUGUUCUGGGCA